rnacentral:rRNA from 1 species
AUGAUUCCUGCACGGCUAGUCAGCUUAAGGAGAGGUCCAAUAAUAUUGUUGUUACCAUUUGUUGAGGGUGAGACGUCGACCAGGCAGAUGGAGUUGGAUUUAUCCGACUACCUUGCUACAGGAUGGCGCUGUUCAGCCCAUGCCAUUGGUCCUGGGGUGUUUGUAGUUCGAUUUCCUAACCCUCGAGCUGUUGCGCAAAUCUUCUAUGUGGGAAAUGUUACUCUGAAAACGAGUGGGGCUGUUAUACAUGCCACUCAGUGGUCUUCAGCUGUGGGAUCGAAAGGAAUCAUGGAAGUUGCAUGGGUGAGGGUGAUCAAUGUCCCACUGGAUAAAAGAAGUGAAAGAAACAUAGCAUUUGUGGCUUCACUGGUGGGGGUUCCACUGGAAAUUGAUACUGCAACCUUACAUCGCCCUGCUUCUGUGCGUGUGAAAUUAGGGUGCAGAAAUGUUGACGCUAUACCUGGGAUAGCGGAGUCAGUUUUGGGAGGGCAUUUCUAUGAUUUUGCUUAUGAGGUGGAGCAGGUGCUGAUCAGGGAUCCUAAUCGUGGAAAAAAUGAGAUAAGGGUGCCUCCUAACUCUGAUGAAGGGAACCAUAAAAAAACUAAGCAAGAUGUGAAUCCUGGAGCUCAGAGGGGCAGCACUUCGACUGGGCUUGGAGGGAAAUCUCUCCCCAUUCCCCAACGAGAAGUUCCCGGCCCGAUUCAGGAAUCACAGGAGAGUAUAGAGUCUGAUGACUCUCUCCAUACUACACUUAUUGAAACUAUGAAAUAUGAGCAUGAGCAGGGAGUGAAAGAAAAAGUUGUGGAGGUGGUGGGGCACCAUGAUUCAGCGCUGAAAGUGAUCAGUGAUUACAGGGUGGAGUCCCCUGAGAUGAAUGUUUAG